AAUAAUAAUAAUAAUAGUGCCUGGUGUACCCUUAUCAGACAGGUAGUCAUGAUGGGUAUAUUGGGCUUCGUAUAUUUUACCCCAGUGUCACUUUGAUGGCAUGAACCGCUCUCUCACUCAAUAAUAAUAAUAAUAAUAAUAAUAAUAAUAAUAAUAAUAACAACAAUGAUAAUCUUUCCUGCUAUAGGUUCAAGGCCUGUAAUCUUGUGGUGGUGUACAUCAACUCCAGUAUUCAGCUGGUACUUAUUUUAUCCGCCCUGAAAGGAUGGAAGGCAAAGUCAACCUCUAUGGAAUUGGAACUCUGAAUCAGAAGAUGAACAAAAUGGCAUUAAGCAUUUUUCCUGGUGGUCUCACGAUUCUGACAUCAGCCAUCAUGACAUCUAAAUAAUAAUAAUUCCUUUUUUUAUUGGCCACAGGGCUCACACUAAAAGACAUAUAACAACAUAAAAGACAAAAACAGGACACGACAAUGGGUUUUACAAUCUGUAAACAAUAUAAAUAGCAACUAAAAAUUAAACAAAUUUAAGGGCUUCGAGGGAAAAACACACAAAGCCCAAACAACAGGCAAAAGCCCUUUUUUUUUUUUACAGGUGCACGCUCAGAAUUGGUCCUUUUACACUGGCCAUUCUUCCAACAUUCACCCACCUUUCAACUAAUGAUUCUGCCAGCUCACCACCAUAAUAAUAAUAACAAUAAUAAUAAUAAUAAUAAACUGGUACAUCAUACGUAUUGAGAAGAGCAUUGUCGAUGUGAGAACUAUUACUACCCAUGUAUUUUAAUUUAACUUUAUUUCUAUUAAAAAAAAAAAUGAACGAACUAGUGAGUUUAGUUUAAUGGCCUACCAAUGUAUACUAUGAGUUUCUUUGCCCUAGGAGUCGGGAAGACACUCGGCAAGAAAUGGAAGUAAAUUUGAAAGAAGAAGAAAAAUGAUAAUAAUAAUAAUAAUAAUAAUAAUAAUAAUAAUAAAUAUUCAUAAUAAUUUGUUGAAGGUAAGAAGAAUUGUGUUCGUUUGCUAAUUUUGUGAAAGUGGUUUUUGCAGAGAUAGGAGCUUUAGUAAAUGUGCUUAACGGUACUUGCUAUUAUUAAAAAAAACAUGAAGUUGCACUAGUCUUGUUUUGGUUGUUGUGUUGAGAUGAUAUGAGCAUAAACAUCAACAACAGCAACAACAAUGGAAAAUAUCGGUAGAAAGCACCGAAGCAACAAUGCAGUAAUUGAAAGUAGAAGACGGCAGAAGUGAUGCGGUAGGAUUAGUAGAAGAAAUAACACUAGUAGUACAAGUGCUGUAAAUAGACUUCAUGAUGUAGUAGUGAUGGUGGUGGUGGUGGUGGAGGAGAGAGUAGAAGUGGUGGUGGUGGUGGUGGAGAGAGAGUAGCAGAUGUAGUGGUGGUGGUGGUGGUGGUAGUGGAGAGAGUAGAAGUGAUGGUGGAGGUGGAAGAGAGAGUAGCAGAUGUAGUGGAGGUGGUGGUGGUGGUGACAGCUACAGAGAAUAUUGCAGUAUAGCUAUGUGUCUCGACAAAUUUUCACAAAUCUAUAAUUAUAUUGAUUUCUUACAUCAACACAUUUUUCGGAUUUAUAUAAGAAAGCGGUGGCGGGGGGGGAAUGAGAAUGUGUGGCAUUUGCAAAAGCCAUUAUCAUUGUAAGUGAAGUAGUUUACUACUGGGAUCUAAAAUAUAGGUCAUGGACUCAUUUCACCUAAAAAUAUUAAACGACAUUUUUUUUAUCUUCUUAUUACGUACACUCAGUAUUUUAGCUGAGUCAACUUUUUGAAUAAUAUCAGAAUCCAGUUUGAAGUAGAGAUUUCAAACUUAGAAUCUUCAAAGCCACAGUUGAACCAAUUCUACUAUAUGGCUCAGGAACCUGGACGAAGCUUGAGAGAUGGUUGGAUGGAACUUACACUCACCUCCUUAUGAGAGCCCAAAAUCUCCCGUGGAAGCGUCAUCCAACCAAAGUACAAAUAUAUGGGAAACUACCACCUGUAUCAUCUCUUGUGAAAGGUAGAAGAGUCCAGUUUGCUGGACAUUGUUGUAGAGCUGAAAAUGAGGUAAUUUCUACUCUUCUCCUCUGGAAUACGCGAUACCAGAGAGCGCACAAUCUCCUACCCUGAUGUAAUCUCCAGGGAUACAGGCAUCCAGCAACAGGACCUCCGUAAUGCUAUGAUGGACCGUGAAGUCUGGCAUAACAUAGUAAAUUCCAUUGUCUUGACCACAGUCGAACAAUGAUGAUGAUGAUCAGAAUCCAAAGUGUGAGAUGUAUAUUCUCAUGGAUAGGAAGCUAAACUUUCAAUAGGUUAAUUACUCAGGAAUAGAUAAACUAAGGCAUAAAAAGUUCUUUCGAGCAAUGCACUUGCUGAGCCAUGGUUUGAACUUGUGUACAGGGGAUUAGGAGAGUCUAAUAAAAUAGGUUUCUCAUUUUCUUUGUUUAUUUAGUCCUAGCACAUGUAGGAAAGUAUGAGCUAGUUUAACCCUUUCAUUACCAACCCGGCUGAAACUGGCUCUGAGUACAAAUGUCUUGUUUUCAAAAGUUUUCAAUUAAAAUCUUCCACCAAACCUUAGUCACAAUUUAUGUUCCUAACACCAGCUUAAUGAUAACUAAGUUAUUUUACUAAAUUCUUUGUUAUAUUUAAAGUAAUUGAAAGAAACACAGAACAUCUCAAAAUAACGUAUAUGUUAUUUUACUUGCUAAACUAAAACCAGAAACCAAUUGGUCCAGGGAACUAGAUGGUAAAAUGUUUUUAUCUUUUUUCAUUUGGUUCCUGUCAAAUUUUAUCCCUAAUUUUGUGGUUAUAGAACCUAGCUGUUCUUUCUAGCGUGUUGAAUCCCACGAGUGGAUUCAACAUGUGUUUAAAUGUACACAGUAUUUUAUGACUAUAUAUAUAUACAUAUAUAUAUAUAUUUAGCCAUGCCUGAUCGCUAAAUCCACAAUUUUUUUUCUCUGUUUAUUUUUUCUUUUUCCUUUCUGCUGAAGAGCAUAGGCUCAAAAUGUAAAAGACUUUCUCAUUUUCCCAACCAUCAAACUAAUGCACCUGCUUGUGGUUCAUACACCUGUCUUCAUCUUUUGUUUUCUAUAAAUUUCGACUAUAUGUGUGUGUGUGCGUGCAUAUAUAUGUGUGACUGUUUGUAGUAUGCAGCACAAAUAUCACCCUUGUUGUGUGUAAUCCCUCCCAACCUGUAUUAAUCCCUUUUCUUCUUUCCCAGAAUUUCUCCCUUGCUUAUGUCUUUCCUGUAGUAUUUACUUGCAACAGUUUAAGAGAGACAUAAUUGGCACCAUUCAUACCAGCCUAGGAGGGUCUGUGAAAACCAAGAACAUUGCCCUGCCCUCCAGAAUCAACAAGUAAAAAAGUGCCCCCCAACCAUAUGAUUUGGGGUUCAGUCCUACUGAGAGGCACCUUGGACAAACGACUUCUGCUACAGCCCUGGGCCAACCAAAUCUUUAUGAGUGGGUUUGGUAGAUGAAAACUAAAAGAAACCUGUCACAUAUAUGAAUAUGUCUGUACAUGUUUUUUUUGUGUUUCUGUUAUAUUUGUCCCUUACCACUACUUGACGACUAGAGUUGGUUUGUUUAUGUCUCCCAUAACUUUGCAGUUUGGUAAAGGAGACUGAUAGAAUAUGUACCAAGCUCAAAAAAUGAGUUCUGGGGAUGAUUUAUUCGAUUAAACUCUUUACGUUGGUGCCCAAGCUUGGCCGCAAUCCAAUGACUGAAACAAGUAAAGGAUAAAAAGAUAAAGAUAAAUACACACACACACACACACACACACAUAAUGUAUGACUCUCCUGAUAUAACAUAAGUCUGCAGAAAAUGCUACUAACAUAACAUUUUAUAGACUUAACUAGUGAAAAACCAAUACAUACAUACAAUGCGUAUUAACAGCCAACCACAAAAGAUAUAACACAUAACAAACAGUAGAAAUGAGGAUUGCACAAUAUUGAGCUAGCAAAAAAAAAGAAAAAGAAAAGAAAAGAAAAGAAAAGAAACAGAAGAAAAAACACAAUUACUUUCUAAAUAUUUUCGGUAAUUUCAGUUUAAAAUUUUUGCUUUUUAGGUAAUAAUUCUGUCCACCAUAAAAACAGACAGCAACAAUAAUGAAAGUGUAGAAACAAAAUUAAUCAAGUCUGGGAAAUAAACAACUUAAAUUGUGUAUAUAUAAUAUACAAGCUUUGUAUAUACUCUCUCUUUUACUUGUUCCAGUCAUUUGACUGUGGCCAUGCUGGAGCACCGCCUUUAUGAUAUAUAUAUAAUAUACAAGUUAUGUAAUUAUGGCAUAUACCAGUGGUUCUCAACUGGGGUCCAUAUGGUCCCUGGGGGUCCACAUAGCAACAUAGUAAAUUGGGGAUCCAGAAUAGUAUUUUAAGGGUCCCUGAAAAAAUUUUGUUUUAGAUUUAUGUAUUGGUAUGUAUCACAAGAAACAGCUGGGUAUCUGUCUGACAUUUUACAUAAUUCAACCUACACAAGUUAAUGUGAGAAAUACAAAAUAGGAAUUUUGAAAGAAGUUUCUAUAAAACUACUUUUUAACCCUUUUGAUACCAACCCAGCUGAAACUGCUUCUGGCUCUGAGUAGGAAUGUCUUGUUUUCAUAAGUUUUGAAUUAAAAUCUUCCACCAAACCUUAGUCCCAAUUUAUGUUCCUAACACUAGCUUAAUGAUAACUAAGUUAUUUUACUAAAUUCUUGGUUAUAUCUAAAAUUAAUUGAAAGAAACACAGGGCAUCUCAACAGAAAUAUGGUAACGAAAGGGUUAAAAUAUAUAAUAGAGAAACAAUUCUUAACCCUUUCGAUACCAACUAGGCUAAAACCAGCUCUGGCUCUGUAGUACAAAUGUCUUGUUUUCAAAAGUUCUGAAUUAAAAUCUUCCACCAAACUUUAGUCAUAAUUUAUGUUCCUAACAUUAGCUUAAUGAUAACUAAGUUAUUUUACUAAAUUCUUUGUAAUAUUUAAAAUUCAUUGAAAGAAACACAGGGCAUCUCAAGAGAAAUACAGCAAUGAAAGGGUUAAAUAUUGAAUGGCUAGGGGGGUCCACCAAAAUAAAGUAAUAAUCAAAAGGGUCCUUAGAUAAAAAAUAUAGUAGAGAAUCCCUGGUAUAUAUGAUGGCGUUUUCUGUCAAGGAAGAUAUAUGUAUGAAGAUGUAUGGCCUAGUGGCUUGGGUGUUACACUCAUGAUAGCAAUAUUUUGGUUUCAAUUCAAAGCAGUGUGCUGGCAGAAUCCUUAGCAGCAUUUCAUGUCUUUGCAUUCUGAGGUCAAGUUCUGCCAAGGCUGACAUUAUCUUUUAUCCUUUCAGGGUCAAUAAAAUAAGUACCAGUUGUGUACUGGGGUCGAUGUAAUCGAAUUAUUUGCGCCUCUGAAAUUGCUGGUCUUGUGCCAAAAUUUGAAACUAGAAUCUUGGUAUCAAUUCCCAGACUGGACAGUGUGUAGUGUUCUGGAGCAAAACACGUCAUUCCAUGUAGUUCCAUAAACACUUUGACAUCUGAUCUGACAUGUGGCACAUCGUGCAUUUGAACAAGAAAUGAUGAUUUGAUGGAGUGAGUAAAUGUGCAGCAUGAAUAUUGGAUCACUAUAAACAAAUCAUCUGUGCAGGCUGUUCAACAAACAUUGCAAACCCUCAGCUACAACAGGAAAGUCUAUGAUGUGUGUACUGCAGUGCAAUCAACUGAAUGAUCUCCUCAUUGAAUAAGCAUGUGAGAUGGCUGAGUAUUCCAGAGAAAAGUUUAAUUUUGAUGUAAUUCUCAAAUAAAAUCUCUCUGACAGAGUCUAACAAACUAGACCCUUGAAUUACAGGGAGAGUCCAUCCGGAUUUCAACAAAGUUUUCAACUCACUUUCAUUUACAAGGGUUGGAUUGAGCCAAGUGUACAGAAAAAUACAAUAGCUCCCAAAUGCCAUGCAGUGGGAUUGAACCUGGAAUUUCAUAGUCGCAAAGCAAACUUCUUAGUCACUUUGCAGUCCUGCUUGUACGGUACAGUUGCACAUCUGCAGACAAACUCUACACUAUUUGCAUAUAUACCUCAAACCUGAGAUUCUAAUUCAUUUCAAGGUGACUAGACUAUAUGAUGCUGAUGAGCUGCAAAAACAGUGAAAUACCGAUAUCUAUUGUUCUUAAUCAUCUUCAGGAUCUCACUUGAUUUGGGGUAUUCAGUGCUUUUUAACACUUGGUGUCUUAAAAGAACUUUACCCCUGAUGCAAUCCCACAGCUAAUGAGCUCAUAAACAAAGCGUAUGUACUAACUAUGUGACAUUGAUAAUGUUUACAUCUCUAGAGCUGCUUAUAAUUCAAAUUUAAUGUGUGUGUGUAUGUGUUUGUGUGUGGUAAGUGACUUGCUUACCAGCCACAUGGUUCCAGGUUCAGUCUCAUGGCGUGGUACCUUAGGCAAAUGUCUUCUACUAUAGCCUCUAGCCAACCAAAGUCUUGUGAGUGGAUUUGGUAGACGGAAACUGAAAGAAGCCCAUCGUAUAUAUAUGUUGUUAGUUCAAACCUACCGAAGAUUUUUUGCUGUGAUUUUUAAGGAAAUAAUUCUAUAUUUCUGAAGAAAGUUACAUGUCCCAGCAAUGGAGUGAUUUGUAUCUGUUUAACUCUUUUGGUACCAACUGAUUCUUUAAAACAAAUUUACUGUUUUUAAAGUAACCUAAAUUAACACCUUCUAUAACAAUUUCAAGUUAAUGUGUGUUCAAAACAUCAGCUUAAUGAUAACAAAGUUGUACUAAAAUCUUCAUGUAUUCAAAA
rnacentral:lncRNA from 1 species